rnacentral:tRNA from 1 species
UGCAGCGUCGUCUAGUGGUAGGACACCUGGUUUUGGCCCAGGUAACGCAGGUUCGAGCCCUGCCGCUGCAUCCA